rnacentral:rRNA from 1 species
GAUGAACGCUGGCGGCGUGCCUAAUACAUGCAAGUCGAGCGAACAGACGAGGAGCUUGCUCCUCUGACGUUAGCGGCGGACGGGUGAGUAACACGUGGAUAACCUACCUAUAAGACUGGGAUAACUUCGGGAAACCGGAGCUAAUACCGGAUAAUAUAUUGAACCGCAUGGUUCAAUAGUGAAAGACGGUUUUGCUGUCACUUAUAGAUGGAUCCGCGCCGCAUUAGCUAGUUGGUAAGGUAACGGCUUACCAAGGCGACGAUGCGUAGCCGACCUGAGAGGGUGAUAGGCCACACUGGAACUGAGACACGGUCCAGAAUCCUACGGGAGGCAGCAGUAGGGAAUCUUCCGCAAUGGGCGAAAGCCUGACGGAGCAACGCCGCGUGAGUGAUGAAGGUCUUCGGAUCGUAAAACUCUGUUAUUAGGGAAGAACAAAUGUGUAAGUAACUAUGCACGUCUUGACGGUACCUAAUCAGAAAGCCACGGCUAACUACGUG